GCGUUGGUGGUUUAGUGGUAAAAUUCAUCGUUGCCAUAGUAUUGUAGUCUCCCCACUGAAGGUUGCUCAUUAUCCUAGGGAGUGCCUUCGGAGCUCAACACCAAAGAUCUCGAUGAGCCCCGGGUUCAAUUCCCGGCCGACGCA
rnacentral:tRNA from 1 species